rnacentral:rRNA from 1 species
AGGGUGUAAACGCUGCAGACUUGGUGUUGGGAACCCUUCGGGGGUGCUCAGUGCCGGAGAGAAGUUGUUAAGUCUGCUACUUGGGGAGUACGUCCGCAAGGAUGAAACUUAAAGGAAUUGGCGGGGGAGCACCGCAACGGGAGGAGCGUGCGGUUUAAUUGGAUUCAACACCGUAAAACUCACCAGGGAAGACUGUUACAUGAAGGCCGAGAUGAAGACUCUGCUAGAUUUUCAGAGAGGUGGUGCAUGGCGUAGACGUCU